CCAAUCAAUGAACAGCAUCCAAUUUUGCACAUUUGCGUAAUGUCGGUGUGAAAAGUAUAAAUUUUGCCCCCGUCUCCGUUUUUACAUAGCUGCAGUCCGACUUCGUUAGACGCUAGGCACAUCGUGAUCGCUCUUGCACGGCAGGAACCAAGUGAGUCAACACCAUGAGGCUGUUCGCCUGUAUGCUGCUUGUGACGAUGGUUUUCACCGCAAUGCUGAUUGACCACUCGGAGGGCUUCGCUCGCCGCCGGUACAGCAGGAGACGGUACUUCUCGGCAGAAAUUGGACAGCUGGCGAAAGACGUGAAAGAAACGAGGUCCCUCAUGGAUCAACUGAAUGACGUGCUGGAUGAAGUGGAUGAGCAGCUUGACGCACGUGCACAGGAGUUAGGGGGUCCAGAGGAGCAAGAAGACGCGCCCUGAUGCGACGCUGACUCCUGUACCCGGCAUGACAGCCUACCGGAUCAACGGAACACCGGCGUUUCCAGUGAUGGGCAAAAAAUCAAACGCUGGGUUGAUAAAUAAAAGUCAUGAAAAACGUUA